CCAUCUCUUUGUCUUAUCAUUCAUUUUUUACCUUGCUCAGUGUGUUUCAGUCUCUUGUUACAAGUUUUUGCUUUCAGCUCAUCAUAACUGCACCAGUGACCACAUUAACAGUAUCAUUUGGUUUUACAGGUUCAUCAUUGCCGUAUAUUAUUGUUCUUGCAUGUUUAGUAGCACUCUUAAUUGUUGUAGCAUUCGUCAUAUGGAAGAAAACAAAAGGUGCAAACAUUUCCAGAUUAAACAUAUCACCAACAACUGUUUAAUAAAGUUUACAUUUCACUGUGAAAAUUAAAUUUCUUUUCAGGGAAAAAAACACAAAUGGAAGACAAUACUGUGAGUUUAAACACUGAAGGAUUAGGUUUAAACCCAGCUGAGAUUCAGUCUGAUCCAGGAAACAGUCAGGAGAUGGAUGAUCCUGAGGAUGGAGUUAACUAUGCUUCCAUCAACUACACUAAGAAUUCCAGCAGUACGGCCAGUGUUCAGG